GAUGAACGCUAGCGGCAGGCUUAACACAUGCAAUUCGAGGGCUAGAGGCUUUCGGGACUCGAGACCGGCCCACGGGUGCGUAACGCGUAUGCAAUCUGCCUUUCACAGAGGGAUAGCCCAGAGAAAGUUGGAUUAAUACCGCAUAGCAUUGGAGAGGGGCAUCCUUUUCCAAUUAAAGUCACAACGGUUAAAGAAGAGCAUGCGUCCCAUUAGCUCGUUGGUAAGGUAACGGGUUACCAAGGCUACGAAGGGUAGGGGUCCUGAGAGGGAGAUCCCCCACACUGGUACUGAGACACGGACCAGACUCCUACGGGAGGCAGCAGUGAGGAAUGUUGGGGAAUGGGCGCAAGCCUGAACCAGCCAUGCCGCGUGCAGGAUGACGGUCCUAUGGAUUGUAAACUGCUUUUGUACGGGAAGAAACACUGAUACGUGAAUCAGCUUGACGGUACCGUAAGAAUAAGGAUCGGCUAACUCCGUGCCAGCAGCCGCCGUAA
rnacentral:rRNA from 1 species